GUAGAAAUACCAGGUAGCAACAUAGGCGAAAAUUACAACAAAGCAACUUUUGUUCGAACUUGAUAUGUCAAAAUUGGAAAUGUUGUGUUGCUCGUACAGUUUAUGCUGGUCCUCGAUAUAAGAGAACUCGAUAAAAGCAAAAGGUAUAUAAAUAUUGGGGUGAAUACCGCGUGGAAUGAUAAUCUCAGUUGGAACAAAUUCAAAACGAAUUCGGAGAACUCAAAAUAAGGCAAGAAAUCAUCAACCCAUCAAAAAUGCACUCACUAUAUGGUGGAUUUGUUUGAACUUUUUUGCGAUGUGUUUGUAGAAAUUUAUAAAAAUUUCAGCCCCAGAUAGCGGAUUUUUUCAAGACCCAACUCGUGAAAUUUGAAACAAUCUAGAGUUCUUCACUACAUCAAAUCCUGGAUUUUUAAAUAUUUCCAGUUCUCAAAUUGUGGAUUUUGAAAUAGUUUCAGGGAUUUAAAGAAAAUGUCCGAGCCCCAAAUAAUGAAUUUUAAAAACAUUCUUCCGGCGUUCAAUCGUAGAUUCUAAAGAAUAUUUCCGAGUCCGACAUUGUUGAAUUUUAAAGAACUAUUUCAUGAGAGUAAUCAUUAAUUUCUUAAAAUUGUUGUUUUUCAAAUGAAUCGAAUUUUUUAUUUAAUGUCUUUAAGAAUUCAAAUCGGAGAAAGUUAAGAUAUAUAAAAUCACUGACCGUCCAUAUGUCUUUAAUUUAAGAUUAGUCAAAUAAACAAUUUUAACAUUGGCAGAAUAUUA